rnacentral:rRNA from 1 species
AGAGUUUGAUCAUGGCUCAGAUUGAACGCUGGCGGCAGGCUUAACACAUGCAAGUCGAGCGGGGGAAGGUAGCUUGCUACUGGACCUAGCGGCGGACGGGUGAGUAAUGCUUAGGAAUCUGCCUAUUAGUGGGGGACAACAUCUCGAAAGGGAUGCUAAUACCGCAUACGUCCUACGGGAGAAAGCAGGGGAUCUUCGGACCUUGCGCUAAUAGAUGAGCCUAAGUCGGAUUAGCUAGUUGGUGGGGUAAAGGCCUACCAAGGCGACGAUCUGUAGCGGGUCUGAGAGGAUGAUCCGCCACACUGGGACUUAGACACGGCCCAGACUCCUACGGGAGGCAGCAGUGGGGAAUAUUGGACAAUGGGGGGAACCCUGAUCCAGCUAUGCCGCGUGUGUGAAGAAGGCCUUAUGGUUGUAAAGCACUUUAAGCGAGGAGGAGGCUACUUUAGUUAAUACCUAGAGAUAGUGGACGUUACUCGCAGAAUAAGCACCGGCUAACUCUGUGCCAGCAGCCGCGGUAAUACAGAGGGUGCGAGCGUUAAUCGGAUUUACUGGGCGUAAAGCGUGCGUAGGCGGCUUAUUAAGUCGGAUGUGAAAUCCCCGAGCUUAACUUGGGAAUUGCAUUCGAUACUGGUGAGCUAGAGUAUGGGAGAGGAUGGUAGAAUUCCAGGUGUAGCGGUGAAAUGCGUAGAGAUCUGGAGGAAUACCGAUGGCGAAGGCAGCCAUCUGGCCUAAUACUGACGCUGAGGUACGAAAGCAUGGGGAGCAAACAGGAUUAGAUACCCUGGUAGUCCAUGCCGUAAACGAUGUCUACUAGCCGUUGGGGCCUUUGAGGCUUUAGUGGCGCAGCUAACGCGAUAAGUAUACCGCCUGGGGAGUACGGUCGCAAGACUAAAACUCAAAUGAAUUGACGGGGGCCCGCACAAGCGGUGGAGCAUGUGGUUUAAUUCGAUGCAAUUCCCA